UAGUUUAAACAGAAAGCAGUAACUGUUUGA
rnacentral:piRNA from 1 species